UGUCCUUCUAUGACAUCUCCUCUGACUCUCUGAUCCACAUCCACACCUUCUGCUGCACGUUCACUGAACCUCUGUGUGCUGGGUUCAAGUUCUGGCCUGGUUCUGGUUCCUAAGUGUCUCUGUGUGGACUGUAGGACAGAGAGUCUCCUCCUGUGGACACAAACACUCGAUCACACACAUGAGAAGAGUGUU